rnacentral:rRNA from 1 species
UACGAAGGUGGCAAGCGUUGUUCGGAUUUACUGGGCGUACAGGGAGCGUAGGCGGUUGGAUAAGCCCUCCGUGAAAUCUCCAGGCUUAACCUGGAAAGUGCAGCGGGGACUGUUCAGCUAGAGGAUGGGAGAGGAGCGCGGAAUUCCCGGUGUAGCGGUGAAACGCGUAGAGAUCGGGGGGAAGGCCGGUGGCGAAGGCGGCGCUCUGGAACAUUUCUGACGCUGAGGCUCGAAAGCGUGGGGAGCAAACAGG